GGAACUGCAGACCAGAAUGGAUGGGGAAAGUACAUCUUGUAACUAGCUGUAACUGCAGACCAGACAUGGAUGAGAAAAAUACAGUCUGUAGCUAACAACUGUAACUGCAGACCAGACAUGGAUGAGAAAAAUACAGUCUGUAGCUAACAACUAUAUGCAAACCAGAAAUGGAAUCCUCUACACCAGAACAUGGCUUCCUGUAACGCCUGUAACUGCAGACCAGACAUGGAUGAGAAAAAUACAGUCUGUAGCUAACAACUAUAUGCAGACCAGAAAUGGAAUCCUCUACACCAGAACAUGGCUUCCUGUAACGCCUGUAA